UACAGAGGUGGCAAGCGUUGUUCGGAAUUACUGGGCGUAAAGGGCGCGUAGGCGGCCUUCUUAGUCGGACGUGAAAUCCCCAGGCUCAACUUGGGAACUGCGUCCGAUACUGGAAGGCUUGAAUCCGGGAGAGGGAUGUGGAAUUCCAGGUGUAGCGGUGAAAUGCGUAGAUAUCUGGAGGAACACCGGUGGCGAAGGCGACAUCCUGGACCGGUAUUGACGCUGAGGCGCGAAAGCCAGGGGAGCAAACGGG
rnacentral:rRNA from 1 species